rnacentral:tRNA from 1 species
GGCUGUGGUCUAGCGGUUAGAACGCUGGCCUUGUAAUCCUGGGGUCCCGGGUUCGAUUCCCGGCGGUGCCC